GACGAACGCUGGCGGCGUGCCUAAUACAUGCAAGUUGAGCGCUGAAGGUUGGUACUUGUACCGACUGGAUGAGCAGCGAACGGGUGAGUAACGCGUGGGGAAUCUGCCUUUGAGCGGGGGACAACAUUUGGAAACGAAUGCUAAUACCGCAUAAAAACUUUAAACACAAGUUUUAAGUUUGAAAGAUGCAAUUGCAUCACUCAAAGAUGAUCCCGCGUUGUAUUAGCUAGUUGGUGAGGUAAAGGCUCACCAAGGCGAUGAUACAUAGCCGACCUGAGAGGGUGAUCGGCCACAUUGGGACUGAGACACGGCCCAAACUCCUACGGGAGGCAGCAGCAGGGAAUCUUCGGCAAGGGACGAAAGUCUGACCGAGCAACGCCGCGUGAGUGAAGAAGGUUUUCGGAUCGUAAAACUCUGUUGGUAGAGAAGAACGUUGGUGAGAGUGGAAAGCUCAUCAAGUGACGGUAACUACCCAGAAAGGGACGGCUAACUACGUG
rnacentral:rRNA from 1 species